AUGCCCAGAGGGCACUUCCUAAACAUCUCUUUGUUUCUCUCCCAAGCUUCAUAGAGGGACUCUCCUUCGUCCUGUCUGAAGGUCUAAAUGUCUGUUCUAAGCUU